rnacentral:rRNA from 1 species
AUUGAACGCUGGCGGCAGGCCUAACACAUGCAAGUCGAGCGGAUGAAGGGAGCUUGCUCCUGGAUUCAGCGGCGGACGGGUGAGUAAUGCCUAGGAAUCUGCCUGGUAGUGGGGGAUAACGUCCGGAAACGGGCGCUAAUACCGCAUACGCCCUGAGGGAGAAAGUGGGGGAUCUUCGGACCUCACGCUAUCAGAUGAGCCUAGGUCGGAUUAGCUAGUUGGUGGGGUAAAGGCCUACCAAGGCGACGAUCCGUAACUGGUCUGAGAGGAUGAUCAGUCACACUGGAACUGAGACACGGUCCAGACUCCUACGGGAGGCAGCAGUGGGGAAUAUUGGACAAUGGGCGAAAGCCUGAUCCAGCCAUGCCGCGUGUGUGAAGAAGGUCUUCGGAUUGUAAAGCACUUUAAGUUGGGAGGAAGGGCAGUAAGUUAAUACCUUGCUGUUUUGACGUUACCACCAGAAUAAGCACCGGCUAACUUCGUG